CUUGGUCAUUUAGAGGAAGUAAAAGUCGUAACAAGGUCUCCGUAGGUGAACCUGCGGAGGGAUCAUUACAAGUGACCCCGGUUUUACCACCGGGAUGUUCAUAACCCUUUGUUGUCUGACUCUGUUGCCUCCGGGGCGACCCUGCCUUCGGGCGGGGGCUCCGGGUGGACACUUCAAACUCUUGCGUAACUUUGCAGUCUGAGUAAAUUAUUUAAUAAAUUAAAACUUUUAACAACGGAUCUCUUGGUUCUGGCAUCGAUGAAGAACGCAGCGAAAUGCGAUAAGUAAUGUGAAUUGCAGAAUUCAGUGAAUCAUCGAAUCUUUGAACGCACAUUGCGCCCCCUGGUAUUCCGGGGGGCAUGCCUGUUCGAGCGUCAUUUCAACCCUCAAGCCCCCGGGUUUGGUGUUGGGGAUCGGCGAGCCCUUGCGGCAAGCCGGCCCCGAAAUCUAGUGGCGGUCUCGCUGCAGCUUCCAUUGCGUAGUAGUAAAACCCUCGCAACUGGUACGCGGCGCAGCCAAGCCGUUAAACCCCCAACUUCUGAAUGUUGACCUCGGAUCAGGUAGGAAUACCCGCUGAACUUAAGCAUAUCAAUAAGCGGAGGA
rnacentral:rRNA from 1 species